rnacentral:lncRNA from 1 species
AGAAAGUGAAAAUUACAUCUGAACAUUCCAACUACAUCUAAUCAACCUAAUUCUGACUCAGAGUCCAAUAAUAUGAGAUAAACCAACUUUCAAUAUCAGAUUUUAAAAGGUUUUCUCAUAUUUGGGGUGUGUUAGAGUUCCCAGGGGCCUCAAAGGGACUCAGGACAGUGCUUAUACCCCAAACACAUUUCAGAAUCAAGAACAUAGUGUAGUGUGAAAAUGUCAGGUCUCAGAUGUCCAAGUUUAGAGGGAACUCAAGGUCCCAAGGCAAGGAUCAAAAAGGAGGGGCAGAACAUAAGAUCCUAGGAAUAGGUGUAAGUGCACAAAGGGAGGGAAUCGGGGAGAGACAGGGCAAGCUAGUGAUUAUGCCCAGCAAUUUGGGAUGCUGACACACCCAUGACCAGCCUGCUAGUCAAGCAUUGAGAGUUAGGAUCCAUUGUGGAUCAAGCCCAAGGUCUAGGUAGUAUGAGAAUACUGUCAGGCCAAAAGCAUAACUCAGCACAUAGAAGGGAAUAUGGGUAGAGGAUUCAUAACAGAAACAGAAGCAAAGAAAGGAGACAUGGAGCACAAUUAUAGCAUAUAAAAAAAUAAAGUAAACAAGAAGUCUGAAACUAUAAAGUAAAUGCAUAGGAGAUGUGGCAGAAGAUUUAAAUAAAGGAAAUACCAGUUUCAUAAAAAUAAGUAAGCUAAAGUAUCCUUGAAAGAGCCAAAUUGAAAACAACAGUUCCAAAAGAUCUCAAGCAAAGCAGGAUUAGAAAAUAGUAUUGCAAGAAAAAAGUAAGUUCAGUGUGUGAGUUGGUGUAUUUUCAUGUGUUUCUUAUUUCUGAGAUUUGAUUGAUGAUAGAAAGAGGGAGGACUAGGUCCUUAUAUAGUUUUUGAAAACAAGUAAGGCAGGCAAAGAGUGUACAAACAUAGAAACCGAUAAAUUAGUAUCAGUUAACACAACUAGACUCCUUUAAUUAAGGGGUCUAGGUCAAACGACUAAUAGAGAUGGAAUAGGGAGAAAAAAACUCAAUUUACUAAGACUUGAUUAAGGUAAAGAAACCAUGUAUUGCACAAAUAGGGGUCAAGUACAUAGUUGGUAAUUAAGGAAAGAUGGAAUAGUAGUGUUCUUUAUAAAGUAAAAAUGAGGUAUCAGUUUGAAAAUCGGCCAAAAGGAUUCCUGAUCCAAGUGUAAUCAUAAAGAGCCUUAGGUAAAUAAGGAAAGAAUAAUUCAAACGUUGGUACAGAAUCAUAUAAGAGACACACAAAACAAAGUAUUUAAGGAAAAUAUCACAAGCCUAGGAUAUUUACGCGCAAAAGGAUCAAAAUAAAUAGCUGGUAGGGUAAAAGGAAUUUAAUCGAAAGAAAUCGGUGAUGAAUCACUAACAUUGUUAAAGGGAUUUCAAAAUCAAUUCUGGGUGAAAUCUUUGAAAGGGAAGUUUUUCCUCAUAUAUAAAGCAUACAGUUCAAACAAAAGAAAAACUUUACAAUGAAAAUUUCAGAAUCACGGGCAAGUAGGAUUCCGAAUUAUGUUCCAGGCUUACAAUGAGUCUGGAAACCUAGGGUUCCAAAGUGAAACCCUAGUGCCAUCUACUCAAAGAAAAAACCCCAAAUUUUAGGGUUUCAAAUAGAAUCAAGGUUAUUGAAAGAGGCAAACAUACGUAAUAGCAAACACAUUGAUUCAAAGGCACGUUUAAGAAAAUCAUGGAAUUCAAAACAGAUCUGCGAAGUUUAAACAAAGCAUGUAAGAGCAAUACUUAGCAGGAGUACCAACAAAACUCAGUAAAGUGAAACAAAAUCAAAGAGCAAGAACACAUAGCAAAAAUUAAAGGACCAGCAAAAAGAAAUAGAAAAAAUCUAAAUAAGAAAACAAACUUAAGCAUAACAAGAAAUAAACAAGCGAGUAUGAACAAACAUAAGAGUGAGCAAAAGAGUUAGAAAAAUUUCAAAGAAACGUUUUCCAGAAACCCUAAAAAUUGGAUUUGGACGGUUUUAAGAAAAAAAAUUUGGGGAAAACCCUUAAAAUGUCAGCUAAGGACAAGCAUGUCACAGAUCUAAAAGAAAUGAACAAGUAUGGAACCUUAGAAGGCUUAAAAUGGCAAAGAAGGCCCUAGAAUGAGAAGUUCUUGAGGAAAGUUGGAUCCUGAGUCAAAGAGACCCAUUUUACCUUGAACACACCGAAAAAAGGCCGUAAAGGCCAUAGAUCUUGAAGAUCUGAGACAGAUCUAAAGAAAACCAUGGAAGCCAGGCCUCCAAGCUUCGAGUAACUCAAUCUGAUGGUGAGGGAGAGUACGUAUAGGCCAUCCAUGGCCAGUAUUGCCAUGGAUUCUGAUGGAGAUGAGACAGAGAUCGGUGGAAUAUGGUUAAGGUUUCAGAGGGAUAAAGAGAUUUUGAGAGACGAAGGGAAUUUAGAGGUGGCUGUCUUUGGGUAAAUGAACUAGGAUUAGGGAGCUAGGGAUUAAAAAGGAAAGAAU